UCGAGAAUCUUCCACAAUGGGCGCAAGCCUGAUGGAGCGACGCUGCGUGUAGGAUGAAGGCCUUAGGGUUGUAAACUACUGUCACGCCAUAGGAAACCGUAGUCGUUAAUAGCGGCUACGCUGACCAAAGCGAAAGGAAGUGCCGGCUAACUCCGUGCCAGCAGCCGCGGUAAUACGGAGGGCGCAAGCGUUGUUCGGAAUCACUGGGCAUAAAGAGCAUGUAGGCGGUCUUUUAAGUCGGAUGUGAAAGCCCUCGGCCCAACCGGGGAACUGCAUUCGAUACUGAUUGACUCGAGGACAGGAGGGGUGAGUGGAACUUCAGGUGGAACGGUGAAAUGUGUAGAUAUCUGAAGGAACACCGGUGGCGAAAGCGGCUCACUGGCCUGUCUCUGACGCUGAGAUGCGAAAGCUAGGGUAGCAAACGGGAUUAGAUACCCCCGUAGUCC
rnacentral:rRNA from 1 species